AUAUUCUUCGGCAGCACAUAUACUAAAACUGGAACGAUACAGAGAAGAUUACAUGGCCUCUGCACAAGGAUGACAUGCAAAUUCAUUUAGCGUUCCAUAUUUUU